rnacentral:lncRNA from 1 species
ACAUGGAAGAAGAAGAGUGGAUAGUAGAUUACUUAGAAGUGAGGAAAAAGGUCAAAUUAAAAUUCUGCAAGCUGGACACUGAAGUCCCCAGAGAAGACUAAAAAGCCUCAGGAAUUAAGAGCUACUGUGGAUGCCAGAGAAGGAUGGAUUUUUUGAAAAUCUAUAUAUGGUGUGGUUAGAAUUUGGCUACAAAACUCAUCUUGCAAGGCAAUUGCCUCUGACAGAAGAUAAGUUUUAUUAAUAAAUAAAUAAAAGGUACAAGAGAGGUUUCAGAUUUCAGGAUAUCAAGUAGAAAGGGUUUAGGGCUUAUUGAAUGUGACUUGGAAUUCCUUUUGUCUGAGCUCCACAAAUUCUAGCUUAAGAUUGCCCUCUUCCAGAUUUGUACCCCACCAACCAAGGGGAAGGAGAUUAUUUUAUGGAGUAUUUAACACCUCCCCCCCAAAAAAAACCUAUGGGUUUGUUAUGGAUUCCCAACAAAAAUAGUUGGUCAUUUCCUCAUCAUAUAUGUUUAUUUUUCUUUUUUAGGUACUGGGGAUUGAACCCAGGCUUGCUAACUAAGCACAUGAUCUACCACAGAGCUACACUCCCAGGCCAAGAUAGUUACAGAUUUUUUUUUCCCCCAGUGCUUGGAAUCAAAUCCAGGGCCCUGUGCAUAUUAGGCAAGUGCUCUACCACUGAGCCACACCCCAGCCCUUCACUGAUUAUCGUACUCACCCUUGAACACAAAAAUUACCAUCAAUUUUAAAUGUCUGUUUUAAAUAUAAAUGCAGUCAGAGAACACAUAUUUGCAAAUAUGCAGAAAACAAAUCAGAGGAAAUAAACACUCCAAGAACAUAAAAAAACUAAAGUGUCCUCAAAGUACAACAUGAAACAAGAACAACAUGCUCUAUACAGGAGCAAUACAAAAGAAAGUGCUCUUGGGAUACACAAUAGAAUAUUAUUCAGCCUUAAAGAAUAAUGAAAUCAUGGCAUUUGCAGGUAAAUGGAUGGAGCUGGAGAAUAUCAUGCUAAUCAAAAUAAGAAAAUCCCCCAGAACCAAAGGCCGAAUGUUUUCUCUGAUAUGUGGAUGCCAAUUCACAAUAAGAGGAUGGGUAGGGAAAAAUAGAGGUACUUUGGAUUAGGCAGAGGGUACAAAGAAGGGGAUGGGGUAGGAAUAAUAAUAGAAUGAAUUGGACAUUAUUACCCUGAAUACAUAUAUGAUUUCAUGCCUGGUAUGAUUCUGCAACAAAGAAUGAGAAG